UAUUUUCUUAUUUUAUUUAAUUAAGUUUAGUAUAAAGUAAAGCAGAAGUGUAAUUAUUAAAAUUUUUUAAAGAUUUUACUUUUGGUAUAACGGUUAAACUAUAAGCUUGUUGAAACAACAUUUCCCGAAACAAAAAGAUCUAAGCUUUUAAAUUUUUUAGAAUAUAAUUUUAAUGUGGCAUUAUUAAAAAAAUAUAAGAGUUUAGGAACGAAAAGUCUACAAUUUUUGUGAUAACUGGAUUAUAGAGAAAAGUAUUUAGUACUACUAAUACAUGAGUAAGGUGCCGAGAUCUUACUCAAAAAGAAUACAAUAUAACUAUUUUUUUUACUUUAGGGCUAACCCUCACUAGUUAUUGUAAAAUUAAAAUGCUUCAAAUAAUUAAUCUUUAAUUUUAUCUAUAUUUCCUUAAUAACUUGUUCAAGGAGAAAUAAUGUUUAAAUUAGUAAUAAAUUUAAUGUUAAGUCUAUCAAACUUAAUAAAAGGAACUCGGCAAAUUUUAACCUUAACUGUUUAUCAAAAACAUAGCCUGAAGGUAUUUAUUUCAGGUGAAACCUGCCCAGUGCUAGUAUUUUUUAAAGUAAAUGGCCGCAGUACCUUGACUGUGCUAAGGUAGCGUAAUCAGUUGGCUUUUAAAUGGAGUCGUGUAUGAAUGGAUUUAUGGGGUUAUACUGUCUCUUUUAAGUUUAAUUGAAUUUAGUUAAAGGGUGAAAAUACCCUUGAUUAAGAUAAAGGACGAUAAGACCCUUGGAGUUUUUACUAAUAAGUUUUCAACUUUAUGGUUUUUGCUGGGGCGGCAAAGAGGUACAUGUUAAACCCUCUUACACAAAUUUGCCGAAGAUUUUAAGAGUAAUUAAACUACCCGAGGGAUAACAGCAUUAUUCUUUAUAGAGUUUGUGACCUCGAUGUUGGACUAGGAAUUUACUAGGCUAGCCGCUUAGAUUUAUUGUUCUGUUCGAACUGUUUUUCCU
rnacentral:rRNA from 1 species